UACGUAGGGUGCGAGCGUUAAUCGGAAUUACUGGGCGUAAAGCGUGCGCAGGCGGUGAGCUGUGUCCGAUGUGAAAGCCCCGGGCUUAACCUGGGAAUGGCAUUGGAAACUGGCUCGCUGGAGUGUGGCAGAGGGGGGUGGAAUUCCGCGUGUAGCAGUGAAAUGCGUAGAGAUGCGGAGGAACACCGGUGGCGAAGGCGGGUCUCUGGGCCGUAACUGACGCUGAGGAGCGAAAGCAUGGGGAGCGAACAGG
rnacentral:rRNA from 1 species